rnacentral:rRNA from 1 species
GACGAACGCUGGCGGCGUGCUUAACACAUGCAAGUCGAACGGUAAGGCCCUUCGGGGUACACGAGUGGCGAACGGGUGAGUAACACGUGGGUGAUCUGCCCUGCGCUUCGGGAUAAGCCUGGGAAACUGGGUCUAAUACCGGAUAGGACUCCUGCCUGCAUGGGCGGGGGUGGAAAGCUUUGGCGGUGUGGGAUGGGCCCGCGGCCUAUCAGCUUGUUGGUGGGGGUAUGGCCUACCAAGGCGACGACGGGUAGCCGGCCUGAGAGGGUGACCGGCCACGCUGGGACUGAGAUACGGCCCAGACUCCUACGGGAGGCAGCAGUGGGGAAUAUUGCACAAUGGGCGCAAGCCUGAUGCAGCGACGCCGCGUGAGGGAUGACGGCCUUCGGGUUGUAAACCUCUUUCAGCACAGACGAAGCGCAAGUGACGGUAUGUGCAGAAGAAGGACCGGCCAACUACGUGCCAGCAGCCGCGGUAA